GACGAACGCUGGCGGCGUGCUUAACACAUGCAAGUCGAACGAAGAGCGAUGGAAGCUUGCUUCUAUCAAUCUUAGUGGCGAACGGGUGAGUAACGCGUAAUCAACCUGCCCUUCAGAGGGGGACAACAGUUGGAAACGACUGCUAAUACCGCAUACGAUCUAAUCUCGGCAUCGAGGAUAGAUGAAAGGUGGCCUCUACAUGUAAGCUAUCACUGAAGGAGGGGAUUGCGUCUGAUUAGCUAGUUGGAGGGGUAACGGCCCACCAAGGCGAUGAUCAGUAUCCGGUCUGAGAGGAUGAACGGCCACAUUGGGAUGAGACACGGCCCAGACUCCUACGGGAGGCAGCAGUGGGGAAUCUUCCGCAAUGGACGAAAGUCUGACGGAGCAACGCCGCGUGAGUGAUGACGGCCUUCGGGUUGUAAAGC
rnacentral:rRNA from 1 species